UUUUUUAUAUUAUUAUUAUUUUUUCUAUUCCCCUGAUGCCCUGUUACAGGUGAGCAGCCCUUCAGGAACUCAGAUUAUAGAUAUCACCAAGGUGGAUUAUGGUAUACCGUACAGACUUAUGGCAAGAUAAUUCAUAAAUUACUUGGAUUGGAGCAUGAGACCUGGUGAAUAUAACGCACAUUUACAUAUUUAAUCUUUACUACAUUGAACUUACUCUUAGUUAGGACUAAUUUCCAGCUUUCCACUAACCAAUUAAUCAACUAACUUACAGUUAGAUAUAAAAUUAACAAUUUAGACUGUUUUUUCAAAAAGAUUUCCAGGUUUGGAACAAGUAACAUUGGCCAGACAUUGUUUCUUUCCUUAAUUUGGACUAAUAACCAUUAUUGUCUAUCUCUUUUUACAUAGUAUUUAAUAUGGGUGGUUACAAUUUAACAUUAUUGUCAGGAUUAUAGUGUUAAUAAAGUUUAUUUGAUAUUAUGUUUGACGUUUCGUAUUAGGAUGACGUCAUCACGUCAAUGCGGAAGUGAAAGGAUUUUUUUACCACCGGAAUCGGCAUUUAACCAGCAAUGUUCAGCGGUUAAACAGGGGCCAUUGAAGGGAACUGAAAUCCCGAGCGCGCAGCCCGACGACUAUUUCAGCCGCCUGACAUAAUCAGCUUGACGACUAUUCCAGCCGCCUGAUAUAACCAACUACCAUCCACACUUUACUCCUAUGGCAUGUUCAGAGGACAUAAGAGCU